rnacentral:rRNA from 1 species
GACGAACCGCCCGAACGUUGUUCGGAAUCACUGGGCUUAAAGGGAGCGUAGGCGGGCUGCCAAGUCCGGGGUGAAAUCCUCCAGCUUAACUGGAGAACUGCCUCGGAUACUGGAAGUCUCGAGGAGGGUAGGGGCAAGUGGAACCGUGGGUGGAGCGGUGAAAUGCGCAGAUAUCAGGAGGAACACCGGUGGCGAAGGCGGCUUGCUGGGCCUUACCUGACGCUGAGGAGCGAAAGCGUGGGGAGCGAACAGG